CCUACGGGGGGCUGCAGUGAGGAAUCUUCCACAAUGGGCGAAAGCCUGAUGGAGCAACGCCGCGUGAAGGAUGAAGGUCUUCGGAUUGUAAACUUCUUUUAUGAGUGAAGAAUAUGACGGUAACUCAUGAAUAAGCACCGGCUAACUACGUGCCAGCAGCCGCGGUCAUACGUAGGGUGCAAGCAUUAUCCGGAGUGACUGGGCGUAAAGAGUUGCGUAGGCGGUUAUGUAAGCGAAUAGUGAAACCUGGUGGCUCAACCACACAGACUAUUAUUCGAACUGCAUAACUCGAGAAUGGUAGAGGUAACUGGAAUUUCUUGUGUAGGAGUGAAAUCCGUAGAUAUAAGAAGGAACACCAAUGGCGUAGGCAGGUUACUGGGCCAUUUCUGACGCUAAGGCACGAAAGCGUGGGGAGCGAACCGGCUUAGAUACCCCUGUAGUC
rnacentral:rRNA from 1 species